GGAAAGGGGUUUUAGGGUUAGAAAAAAAAGUCUCUUCCUCUCCCUCACGAAGCGCGCCGCCUCCUUACUCUCUUCUUACAACGGUGACCGGUGAUUAUCCCCUAUCAAUAUCAGUCUCUUCUAUCAUCUUCUUUCUCAGACCGUGUCGUAUUCAACUUCUUACAAACACGAUUUCCUUCUCAAAACGCGGCAUAAAUUCCUUUCUCUCUUUCUCCUAA